rnacentral:lncRNA from 1 species
UUCUCCAUGCCUCCUCUCCUCCCUCAGUUCUCUUUCAUGCCCAAGGGUUGGGAGUCCUCCUUUCCACACGCCAAGAGGUAGUGGAGAUUUAUCUUCAAAAGCGAAGAACGAGGAGGAGAAAAAGAAGAAGGCUGCAGAUCAAGGAGUUGAUCCCGCAGUCCAGAUCAUGGUGUUAAUCUAAGAUCUCAAGGUUAAGAUUCU